rnacentral:rRNA from 1 species
AGCGAACGCUGGCGGCAGGCCUAACACAUGCAAGUCGAACGAACUCUUCGGAGUUAGUGGCGGACGGGUGAGUAACACGUGGGAACGUGCCUUUUGGUUCGGAAUAACUCAGGGAAACUUGUGCUAAUACCGAAUGUGCCCUUCGGGGAAAGAUUUAUCGCCAUUAGAGCGGCCCGCGUCUGAUUAGCUAGUUGGUGAGGUAACGGCUCACCAAGGCGACGAUCAGUAGCUGGUCUGAGAGGAUGACCAGCCACACUGGGACUGAGACACGGCCCAGACUCCUACGGGAGGCAGCAGUGGGGAAUCUUGCGCAAUGGGCGAAAGCCUGACGCAGCCAUGCCGCGUGAAUGAUGAAGGUCUUAGGAUUGUAAAAUUCUUUCACCGGGGACGAUAAUGACGGUACCCGGAGAAGAAGCCCCGGCUAACUUCGUG